rfam:Triticum aestivum genome assembly, contig: Triticum_aestivum_CS42_TGACv1_scaffold_406252_5BL
UAAAUACUCCCUCCGUCUGAAAAUACUAGUCAUCAAAAUGGAUAAAAAGAGAUGUAUCUAGACGUAAAAAAGAUACAUCUAGAACUAAAAUACGUCUAGAUACAUCUCUUUUUAUCCAUUCUGAUGACAAGUAUUUUUGGACAGAGGGAGUAUUUG